UUGACAGCUCUGGCACAGGAAGGGUUUGUCUGUUUGAUGUACAGCCCAGGCAAGAUCAGUGCAAGCUUUUCCACACUGCCUAGACAAUGUUCUCCAACCCUUUCCUGGAGGGAUCACUUGUACAGGUGUGUGAAGUCAGUUCUGUCCCCAUCCCUGCUCAGUGCUUGGGUUUU
rnacentral:sRNA from 1 species